rnacentral:rRNA from 1 species
UACGAAGGGUGCAAACGUUGCUCGGAAUUAUUGGGCGUAAAGCGCACGUAGGCGGUUUGGAAAGUCGGAUGUGAAAUCCCUCAGCUCAACUGAGGAAGUGCAUCCGAAACCUCCAGACUUGAGUACUAAAGAGGAUCGCGGAAUUCCCGGUGUAGAGGUGAAAUUCGUAGAUAUCGGGAGGAACACCAGUGGCGAAGGCGGCGAUCUGGGUAGAUACUGACGCUGAGGUGCGAAAGCGUGGGGAUCAAACAGG